rnacentral:lncRNA from 1 species
AUGGAUGAGAACUAUGUUUCUUCUGUUUGCUUAAGAAGGAACAAAAUACUCAUUAGUGGCUUAUAACCCAACUGGCUCUAAGUGGAGGGAGGUACCAGACUGAUUUUGAAAUCUGCAAAGGGCAGGGUCUCCAUGGGAAGGGAGGGCCACAGACAUUGGUCACACUGAGCAGUAAUGUCAAAGCACUGCUACAAAACAGGGCUGAGAUCUCAGUAUAUGUGUCCACCAAGUGGCCUCACGGGAAAAGCAGGAACCCU